GAUGAACGCUGGCGGCGUGCCUAAUGCAUGCAAGUCGAGCGAACAGACGAGGAGCUUGCUCCUCUGACGUUAGCGGCGGACGGGUGAGUAACACGUGGAUAACCUACCUAUAAGACUGGGAUAACUUCGGGAAACCGGAGCUAAUACCGGAUAACAUGUUGAACCGCAUGGUUCAACAGUGAAAGACGGUCUUGCUGUCACUUAUAGAUGGAUCCGCGCCGCAUUAGCUAGUUGGUAAGGUAACGGCUUACCAAGGCAACGAUGCGUAGCCGACCUGAGAGGGUGAUCGGCCACACUGGAACUGAGACACGGUCCAGACUCCUACGGGAGGCAGCAGUAGGGAAUCUUCCGCAAUGGGCGAAAUCCUGACGGAGCAACGCCGCGUGAGUGAAGAAGGUCUUCGGAUCGUAAAACUCUGUUAUUAGGGAAGAACAAAUGUGUAAGUAACUAUGCACGUCUUGACGGUACCUAAUCAGAAAGCCGCGGCUAACUACGUG
rnacentral:rRNA from 1 species